GCGAAACACCAAGGACUAGAGUGGUUCCCGUUUCACUCUAAACGCCCCCAUCCGCGCACUUCCACCUGCUGCCACUAGAGGGCAGCUGUGGGACAGAAACGCGACCGGAAGACGGGCUGGAGGCCAGGACGGUCUCAGGCUUGGAUUCGGAGACGCCACCCCGCGUGUGACCCUCCGACACCGAUUCCGGGGCGGUGGCGAAGAUCACUGAGGCCGACGUGACUCACGCCCCCAGUCCCUCCUGCUGGAACACCUCUGUGAUCUUCCACCAGAAGAAAGUUACUAAUGAGAAGUCAUUCGGAUUACUGGCUCCGACUUCCCAUUGGUGCGGAAUCCUGCAUUAAUCUAAGCUUCCCAGGAGGACAGAGACAGGAGACCUUCACUUGGGCAGCGCCCUAUCGCUCAGAGGAGGAUCUGAGGCUCAGGGAAGGUGCCCAAGGACCCAUGCUCACAGAAACAGGACUCUCCUCAGGCCUGGAGCCCACGUCUGGCUGGCCCCCGGCACUCCCCGCCCAGGAGUGCUGGGCAGUCAUCCCAUCGUGACAGUGUGAUGUUUAUUUGUGUGUGUGAUCUGUGAGAAGCGGGUGCAGAGUCGGUGGAAACACCCUGGGAGGCUAACAUGGCAACACUCCCUCUGUGUGCCUGAUGCGCUGUACUCCGGGGUGGGGGGUCCCAGGCCGCAAGCACCCCGUUCUAGGAGGCGGGCACUUACAAUCCUUGGAGACCCACCACCUUCCCUACAGGCUAUCAGGUCCCCAAGGCCUCGUUUUACAAGCGGGCGCAUAAGGCAGGGAGCCAAAGUGGCUCGCGAGGCAGCGGCACCGCCAAGGCCACAGGCCUAUUUCUCUCCUCGACAGACUUCCCUCCAUUGUCCGGGCCCAGACUUGGGGCCUGGCCACGGGCAGAGCCAGACACACACAUUCAUCUUGUGGUAAGUGCAAGUGCCUGGGAAGGAAAAGAGGAUUAGCGAGGCCAAGCCACUCUGUUCUCUGGACAAAUGAAAUUGAGAUGAAUCUGCUCGAAGGCGCCCAGAAUCUAAUAAAUCAGUUGCAGCAUGCCAGAUCCAGUUCCCUGACCAGGGCUUGAACCCAGAUGCCCCGCACCGGGAGUGCGGAGUCCCGACCCUGGGAACCGUCCUACAGGCCUCCAUGGCAGAGGUGUUGGUCCCCGGCUCCAGCAUCGGCCACCGCGGCCCCAGCGAGUCGUGUGGCCCCCGAGGUGAACUCAUUUGGGAAGUGCUCCUGGGAAAUAAAACCAAGGUAAGACACACUUGGCGCUAGGAGUGAAGAACCCUCCUGCCAAUGCCAGAAGACGUUAAGAGAUGCGGGCUCGAUCCCUGCAUCGGGAAGACCCCCUGGAGGAGGAAAUGGCACCCCACUCCAGUGUUCUUGCCUGGAGAAUCCCAUGGACAGAGGAGCCUGGUGGGCUACAGUCCAUGGGGUCACCAAGAGACGUGACGGAAACGACUUAGCAUGCACGCACAAGACACACCUCUAGGGGGUGUUGGCGGGACACUCAUCAGAGCUGGCCAGGGGCGAGAGACUUAGGACAGAGCUACAGCGACGUGGACCGGCCUGAUGGAACUGGCCCCCCUGAGUCCCAGCCCCCCCGGCCAGCCAGGCAUCUGACCAGCCCCAGGGAAAGACCCGGAUUUUGCCUUCAGGAGCUUAUCGUCUGCUGUGAGAAGAGAAAGCCAUUGCUGAGACUGGUUCCCCGGGGCACGGAGGGCAUCUGGGACUUCACAACGCCCAGCCUGGGGGCAGCGCAGGCAGCGGGGAGUACCCGCUCUCGAUACCUUCCCCAAGACGGUGUGUCCAGCCGGGAGAGGGUGCCACCGCACGCAGGCCGGUUAAAACACCAAGUUUCUCUCCAUGGCUGAUUCAUGUCAAUGUAUGACAAAACCCACUGCAAUGUUGCGAAGUAAUUAGCCUCCAACUAAUAAAAAUAAUUGAAAAAAAAAAAAAACACCAAGUUUCUUUCCUGUAGACCCACUUAGGGUUAUCUCAGGCUGAUCAGAUGCUCUGAUUAGAGUCUGACAUCUGAUUAGCAAGAAUGCGGAAGAGGAUUUGUUACGUAAUAAAUACCGGGUGUUUGUAGUCAAAUCUUUCGGUGCCUGAGGUCAAGGUUGGGGGGAGGACAACGGGAAGAAAGCAGGUACUGGGUGGUGGUCAUGGGCUGAGAGCCUUUUAAAAUGGUUUCAGCUGCAGACAAGACAGGGCUUGGGCAGGGCUAGCUUUCACGGUGACAGGCCCAGCCAGGCUCCCCCUGCCGGGACCCUGGGACGUGGGGCGUGUGUGCCCAGAGGAGCUGCGACCCCGGGGUCCCCACCAAGGCCACUGCAACUGCUGCUCCUUCCGCCUGGCUUUUGCUGGUGGCCGGGCAGGUCUCCUGUCCUCAUCCCUCUAUCCCUUCCCGGCCCCCCCGAGGCCUCGG